GUUAAGCGACUAAGCGUACACGGUGGAUGCCCUGGCAGUCAGAGGCGAUGAAGGGCGUGCUAAUCUGCGAUAAGCGCCGGUAAGGUGAUAUGAACCGUUAUAACCGGCGAUACCCGAAUGGGGAAACCCAGUGUGACUCGUCACACUAUCAUUAACUGAAUCCAUAGGUUAAUGAGGCGAACCGGGGGAACUGAAACAUCUAAGUACCCCGAGGAAAAGAAAUCAACCGAGAUUCCCCCAGUAGCGGCGAGCGAACGGGGAGGAGCCCAGAGCCUGAAUCAGCAUGUGUGUUAGUGGAAGCGUCUGGAAAGGCGCGCGAUACAGGGUGACAGCCCCGUACACAAAAGCGCAUGUGCUGUGAGCUCGAUGAGUAGGG
rnacentral:rRNA from 1 species